AGGGGGAGCGCAAGAUCCUGAGCUGUGUCCCCUGGCACCCUGGGAUCCGGGGUCUGCACCGCUGGAAUCGCGCUCCCGGACAGUGCAGCCUCCU
rnacentral:pre_miRNA from 1 species